GAUGAAGAACGUAGCGAAACGCGAUAUGUAAUGUGAAUUGCAGAAUUCAGUGAAUCAUCGAAUCUUUGAACGCACAUGGCGCCUUCCAGUAUCCUGGGAGGCAUGCCUGUCCGAGCGUCGUUUCAACCCUCGAGCCCCCGUGGCCCGGCGUUGGGGAUCUGCCCAGGCAGUCCCCGAAAACCAGUGGCGGAUCCGUUACAGGCCCUUCCCUUGCGUAGUAGCAUUCGCCUCGCAUCGGGAGCCGGCGGGCUUCCAGCCUCUAAACCCCCAUCAAGUCCGCCCCGGCGGCACCAAGGUUGACCUCGGAUCAGGUAGGAAUACCCGCUGAACUUAAGCAUAUCAAUAAGCGGAGGA
rnacentral:misc_RNA from 1 species